rnacentral:lncRNA from 1 species
UGAAGACGAAGAGCAUUCCAGUGACUUUGAGCCAGAAGAAAAUGGUGAUGGUGCUGAGGACGAGGAGAUUGAGGAUGAUGAUGCUGAGGAUGGUGAGGAUUCUGUCAAGGCGCAAUCCUCUUCGAAGAGGAAGAGGUCUGGCGCGGAGGAUGAAGAUGAUGAUGACGGUGAUGAUGAUGGUGAUGAUGAUGAGAAGCCUCCAUCAAAGCGAUAGUCAAUUUGUUCUUGCUGAUCUGGUAUCUUUUCUGCUUGGGCCAAGAAGGAAAAUAAUCCUCACGGAGAGGGUUGUUGGUAAAUGCUGUAGCUUUAGGACAUCUGUGGUAGGUGUAGCAGCUCGAACUUGAGUCUACCCAUGUUAGUUGUUAGUGCAUACUGCUGAUGUUGAUUAACAGCCUCGGGGAACUUCUGUAUGAGCAUUAGAUAUGGGGCUUGUUAUAUGCUUGUGUAGCUUCUGAUUAAAACCUGUGGAAUGUGGAUGCUCUGUUCUGAAUCUUGUUUUCAUGAUAUUUCU